GCGAAUCACAGGACUCCGGAUUUG
rnacentral:siRNA from 1 species